AUGGAAAGUGUUGCCAUGUUGUCGGCUCAGCUAAAGUCCUUAAUCAUGAGGAGAUGGGACAUGUCGAUUGUUAGAGUACAGUUGACAGAGGUGAUCGACGCUGACUUCGCCGCGAAGCCUUGUUGCCACGUCGCACAGAUGAUCGUCCAGGUGAUUUCGACGUCGGAGGUCGCCGAGGUGGAGGACCUUGACGCCACCGUCCGGGGGAGGGAGGAUUCGAGUCCACCGACGUCUGAACUCCGAGCCUAG
rnacentral:rRNA from 1 species